UUUCUACAGGAGCACAUACACUAAAAUUGGAUUGAGACAGAGAAGAUUAGUAUGACGCUGUGAAAGGAAGACCUGCAAACCUGUGAAGCGUUCCUCAUUCUG